ensembl:lncRNA
AGGGGACCCGCGGCCCCGGGCUCGCCCUGCAGCCAAGGGCCCCCCGCAUCGGGGUGGGGGGCGGGGGGGGGGGACGGUAGCAGGCGCAGGAACCGAGAGGGCAGAAGGCAAGGAGGGAUUAAGGCGCCCAGCCUCUGUGGAUCCCACAGAUGCCAGGCAGCAACUGCUUUCCCCGUUUCGUUCCGGUGAACAGAGAAAGGAAAAGAAGAUCCUUUGCCUCCCACCGAGAUAAAAAGGAAGGCGUUCCGACAGAACUCUUCACAGAACUCUUCACCAUCGCCAUCAUCAUCAUCUGCUUUUCUUCUGCUUCGGCGUCAUCCCUUUCUUUUCCUGAUUACAAAAUUCAUACAGGUACCUGAAAAACCAGGAACGUCCAAGAAACUGUCACAGACCAGGUAAUACAGAAAAGAAAAUGCAGAAAAGCACAAAGAAGAAACUAGAAAACAUUUGUAAUCCUACCAUCUAGAGGUGCUGCUCAGGGCAUUUCUUUCACACUUUCAGCAGCACCUGGCCACCUGCUUUGAAGGGAGGAAAGAGAGCUUCCAGGUGAGAGGGAGACCUGGCGGAACACAACCUGUUGAAUAUACU